CUUCACGGAGCCCAGCCACAGCGGCUGCCCGGCGGGGCGUUCCUGGCCGUAGGUGGCCAGCAGUGCCUCGGCCUC
rnacentral:antisense_RNA from 1 species